ensembl:snRNA U6 U6 spliceosomal RNA
GUGCUUGAAUUUGGCAGCACACAUGCUAUAUUUGAAAUGAUACAGAGAAGAGUAGAAUGGCCUCUGCACAAGGAUGACACAUGAAUUUAUGAAGUGUUCCAUAUUUAU